rnacentral:rRNA from 1 species
UACGAAGGGGGCUAGCGUUGUUCGGAUUUAUUGGGCCUAAAGCAUCCGUAGCCGGUUCUACAAGUCUUCCGUUAAAUCCACCUGCUUAACAGAUGGGCUGCGGAAGAUACUAUAGAGCUAGGAGGCGGGAGAGGCAAGCGGUACUCGAUGGGUAGGGGUAAAAUCCGUUGAUCCAUUGAAGACCACCAGUGGCGAAGGCGGCUUGCCAGAACGCGCUCGACGGUGAGGGAUGAAAGCUGGGGGAGCAAACCGG